AGGGGCGGGGCUGUGGCGGCGCGCGGGCGGCAGCGGCCGUUGGGAGCCGGGGGCUCGUGCCUGAAGGGGAAUGGCGGGCGGGAGCUGGUUGUGAGGCCAAGGACGGUUCGCCCGCUUGGGAGGGCUUGAGGUGCUCUCCUAGCGGUGUCCCGUGCCCCCUGAGGUGUUGUCUCCGUGGGGGUGCAGCAAUGAGGUGGUGGGGGAGUAGUCGAGGCGGCCGUGUGUGAGGGGGCUGUGUGAUAAUGGCGGCCUUACCUUACGGGCGUGCUCAGGGGUGGUCAGUGAGGUGAGUGCUGAGCGCAUGGAUAAGGCGCUGGUUUGGUGUCCCGAGGCUCAAUGCUGUGCUGUAAAGAGUGGGUAAGAGGAGCAAUGGUGAGCAGUGGUGCCCCUUACCCAGGUGGUUUGCUUCCCUCCACCAAGGCCUGUGGAGGCUGGACGGGUGAUGUGUGUCCCCCUCCUCGAUGGUCCCUAUAUCCAUGGGCUAUCCAGGUUGCUGCAGCAGCUGUGUUCCUCAGUCUCUCACAGCUGCCUUCCAAGGUGUGUUUCAGACAAGGCUGGUUUGCCCACAGAUAAGAGAAAUCUUGAGUUGUGCGAGGAAUGCUCGCCUACCAGAUGUGAAUGGGGAUGAGCCUAGGGUGAUCUGACAGGCACGUCGGUGGUGACGCGAACCCAACAGGUUAUGGUUGUGUGUCUCAUCUCUAACUGGAGGAGCAGAAGGAUAUGCUUACCAUUUUGCAUACAGCAAAACUCUUAUGCAGUGAAGGCAGAAGCUGAGGAGGUGCAAGACUGUGGUACCAAAUCAGGUCCUGCGUGAUGUGUUACUGGAGAAAUGGCCAUGUAGCCACGCCACCAGGAUAGUCCCAGGUCAAAUCUCUUGGGGAAAUUUUUGCAGCAUUUAAGGAUUUGAAGAGCUGGAAUAUGAACACUUGCUUUUUUGUCAUGCAUAAAAAUAACUGCAUCCUGUAACAUCUCUGUCACGAUGGUAACAAAGUGCUUUGUUUAACUCGUCUUGUUUAUCUUGCUCUGAUGGGUUGGCUUCUGUAAGAAUUAAUGGAUCUGUAGUUUUUGCACUGUGACUUAUAAUUGAAAAUAGCAUUGUAGUUGAUGGGAUUUAAUUAGAAAGUGAUUCAAAUAGCAUGGAUACACAUAGCAAGCUGUUGAUGGGUUAAAAACAGGGCUGUAACUCUAGCACUUAGAAUAAACAGUCUCUCUAUGUAUGUUUUGAUGUUCUAGCUAGCCCUGGUGUUCAAAACAAACCAUGUAAGAGACCAAAAAGUCAGAUUCUUUUUUAACUCCUUCAGCUUGUGCUGAAGGUUCAUUUCUGGUUUUUUGUUUUGCCUUUUUUGGGGGGCGGGAGGGAGAACAGGAGGCAAGUGUUAAAAUCCUUGAAACUGUUUUGUUAAAUGGAAUGUUAAAUAUGCCUGUUUAAAACAGAAGAGUAGAUGCAGCUUUUCUUAUUUUCAUUACCUGUUAGUAAUGCACCAGAAUGAAAUCUGCUUUUAAUAAAUUGCAAUAGUAACAAACACAACAGGGCUUAGUUUUUCAAGUUAUUUUACUAAGUCCUGUGCUUGAGUAGGGGGAUAGUUCCUAGCUCUCCUGUAGUAGGAAGCAGGAUCGCUAGCUCUGCUUAUCUCAGUUAACAUACUUUAAUCUUAUUUAGAAAUGACCUUCCUAUCUUUAUGCAAGUUGUGGCUGAACGUGCUGUAGUGUGAGAAAACAGAAUACUUGUCUCAUCAGUCUCCUGUAAGGAGUUGAGUAAAGGCUGGUUCAGAAUCUGAGGGCAGUCAUGUAAAAAACAGCUGUUUUAACAGGAUGAGUGUAUCCAGAUCUCAACUCUUCUGACACGCAUACUAUCAGUAGUUGUUGUAAGCUUACGCUUGCUGUUUUGUUACUGCUGUUCUCUCUCUGUUGUCUCCUUUAUUAGAUGUUCAGUGUGGUAUUUAGGCCUUGCUGAAAUCAAUAGGAAAAUUUGCUUGGGUUUCAGGUCAGCAGUGUGCCCUGGUUGUGAUAAAGCUAACUGCACACUAGGCUAUAUCAACAGGAGCGUAACCAGGAGAUCAAGUGAAGUGAUUAUUUGUCUCUACUUGAUGCUCAUUUGCUGCAUGAGGAACACUAUGCCUAGUUUUUGGUCCAUCAGUACAAGAAAGAGAUGGAAAACUGUGCAAGGGCAGCUACCGGGAUGGGCUUUUUCAGCCGAGAAAAGAGAGGGGUGAGGGGCGACCUACUAGCAGCCCCCAGUACCUAAAUUGAGUUUACAGGAGUGAGCCUUAUUGGGAGCAGGGCAGGACAACAAGAGACCAUAGGCAUAAAUGGAAGUGGGAGGCUCCCACUGGAGAUAAGGAGGCUAUUUUUCACUGUGAAUGCAAUUAAGCACAACGGUGCCACAAGCAACUUGAUCUGAAUUUGGUGUUGAUCCUAUGUUGAGUGGGAGAUUGGACCAGAGAUUUCCUAAGGUCCCUUCUGGCCUGAGUGGUUCGAAAAAAAACUUGAAAUUCUGUAGUAGUGUAUAUAUUUUUUCAUUAAUGUUUUUGUAUGUGAAAAUGUUGCUUACUUCUGGUCCCUUUGAACACAGUUUAACUCCUAAUGUGAUCAACUUGUUCUUUUUUGAUAUCCAUCACUAAUUUUUAUUUUAAUAAGUACUGUCAGGAAUAUUAUGUGGCCUAUGAAAUACAGGCUGAAAGGAUGAGUUGUCUUGUACCCCACUACUACAUAUUAUAUGAUGGAGCCGUAUUGGAGGAGUAUUUACACAUCUAAUAUAUUGAUCUUUCACAUUCAGUCAAACCUUUGUUACUUUUUAGUCUCUGAGAUUUGGGUGCUCUGAGCUGAUUAUUUUUUGAAGUGUGUAUGAAUGUAUGCCAGUAUCACUGACACUACUCCUUAGGCAGAGGAAGAAGUAUAUAACAUAAAAUGAAGCUGGAAAUUAAUAAGUGUAUUUAGCUGUAGUUGCAAAAGGAAAACUGAAAAGUGUGUGGACAGAAUCCCACGUGAUAUCCUACAACCAUCUCUUUAGAGACUUCAGGCAGCUCUUUUCUACCUUUUCUGAGGAAAUCUUAGCUUUCCAUGAAAACCGUGAACCCAAGCGAUGAGUGUAAAGUAUAUGGCAGAAUUAAGAAAAUGUUGUUUGUCGUCUGUUCUUCACAAGGGCCCUACAUCUUGUGCUAGUUAUUCUAUUUUGAAUGCUUAUCUAAUCCCUGCAUGUACUGUUCAUGGAUCAUGGGAUGGGCCACUGUAGUCUGAGAUUGUCACAAAAUAAAGAUUAUGUGGAUGGGCAAGUGGUGUUUAGCAGCUUUCACCCUGAAGCUAGAGAGCUGUGUAGUGCUCUUCCUUCCUUUUAUCUUUUAUGCAAAUAAGUUUUUUCACUAUUGAAGGCUUUUUUUUGAUUUUUAAGCACCCAUUCUGCCAACUUUCUGUAGCAGUUUAGCAUAUCUUCUUUAGCCAUGGUUAACUUGUCUCCGUCGGCUUUUCAGAAGCUGGACCAUUUCCUUCAGUGGUGUAGGUGUGCACCUAGGAAAGCUGAUGUUCUGAAAGCAGGAGUCGUCAUAUAAAUAAGAGAAAAACAUCAAGUUGUUGUUGUAAUUUCUUUACUGGAUGAAGUAGGAUUAGUAAACAGAAAGACUGGGGAAGGGAGAAAAAUACAGCUAAGGGAAAUAAGGCAAAGAGGAGGCAGGUGUUGAGUGAGGCUGAAAUGAAGGGAAUGAAGCAUUCAGAGGAAAUUGCCAGCUGUAAAUUUCCAAGGAUGUCUGGGCAACACACAACUAAACCAAUCUGUUAACGUCAGGAGUGUCAUUGUAAGCAGCUUCAGCCUCUGCUGCAUUCUCCAGUGAAGGUCCUUUCCUCAAACCAUUCAUUUGUGGGGCGUGUGCAAUGACUGCAGAGUUUUUACUUUACUGUGCAGUGUCUGUUGCAAAAGCUUCCUCCUGAAAGCAGGGAAGGAUGCCUUGUAGUUGCCACUUUCUCAUGCAGCUGUCCAGCUUAGGUCUAGGAUUAUUGACGUGAUAGGGCCAGAAAAUAUGUUUGGCUAGUGAAAGGAAUGUAGAGAGCUUGUUCUGUCCUUACACUCUUAUUUCAUGUGAUUCUAGAAAUGGCAGAACUAAUCCUGCCCAAGCAUCCCUUUUCUCAUUGAGCAGAGCUUCUAAUGUACAUAUGUAUUCUUCAGUGACUUUUGUUUGACUGUACCUUUACUGUCUGAGUUUGGCCAAACUAACUUUGCAUGUAGUUUAAUUCUUGUACAGAAGAAAGGAACUCCUCUGUUUUGAUGAAUGUCCCAGAUCAAUGAUUUCAGAGAGGCUGUAGUGAGAAUAUUAACAGCAUUUGCAGAUGGUCUUGAGUUAGGUGUUACAAACACCGAGUAGGAAGAAAAUACAACAUAAUCUAAAAAUCUUGGAAACAGGAAAUUGAAUAUAACUGGAGAGGAAAAAUGUAAACUGAUGUGUCCCUGGAAAAAAAUAGAAGCUCAGUACAAGGGAGAACUUGGAAAAUAGUAAUAGCUGAGGGAGAAAGCCGAGAGUAAAUUAGAUAUACCUUUGCUCAGCAACAGGCCAAAGGAAAGGACAAUGUAAUAAGGGAGUAUCUGUGGGCAUCACUUUGAAUAGCAGCAGGGUAGUGGCUGCCUUAGAGUGAUUUGAGACCACUCAUAGAAUAUUGUACCUAAGCCUGGGUAUAUUGUUAUCAGUAUGUUGUAAACAGAUGGGCACAAUUUCGCAGAUGAUCAGUAAUUAACACUUAGGAAGAGAGAGUAAAGGUAUAAAAUAUCUAUAUUAUGGCUGAGGAAAAAACAGAUGGGGACAUAUUCAUCAAUAAACUUCCUAAAGCUGUGAACUGUAAAUGUUAUUGGUAAAGAUUUGAAGAUCAUUAAAAUAGCUGUGAAUUAAACUUAAAACUGUAAUGUAACUUUUCACAGUAUGUAGAAAUCCAUGAGAAAUAGAUUCUGAGAACUAACCAAACAAAAUGCUAAGAAAAAAUGCUGUAUAUAUAUCACAAGGAAGAAAUUCUCCAUCUGCAGUCUUUUUAAGAUAACAUCUCUGCGGUGUUUCACUGAUAAUGGAAUUCUUUGGCUAGCCAAAUCUUUCUUGCCAUAUUUGUGUGAAUAGUGCUGAUGUGAGAAUGUGGUCAGAAGGCAAAGGGAAUGAUAAGAAACUUUACCCCCUUCCCACAGUCAAGUCCUUCAAAUAAGAGAGUCUACAAAAUUUUUACUGAAAACCUUUCAAAUGGAGCUCAGUAUGUGAAUACAUGAGUGAACAGAGUGAGGUAGAGUGCAAAAGGAAUAUAUAUAAUAAUACUAACUUAAAUAAAUCUUUAUCUCAAUCAUCUAAGUUAUUCAAGAACUACUAAACUGUAAUAAAAGCCAUGUUAUAAUUUCUUGCGGGGAGGUGAACCCAAAGUUUUCACCUUUCUGUUAAAUCAGAUCUGGUAAGCUUGGAAACAUGCACUAGUUCUAAAAGCGGGGUUUUUUUUGCUUAUCCGCUUUUGAUAUUAUUUCUUAACCUUGUUUUUUUGGUCUAACCUAUUGCAACUUUUAAAGCACCUUAAGGUUUACAGAAAGUUAAUAGGGUUUGCAUUCUAAAAUAAAAAUCAAACUGUAAAGGUGGUUCAGGAAUCUGGGAUAAAAUAGUCCAUAGUGUUCAGUGCUCAAUGUCAUUGGCUUAGACUAUUGAUUCCACUCAAUAAACUUUUCACAAUAUUAAAAUUGUUACUUAAGUCCACUUUCUAUGUAAAGUGCAACUGCUAAUACUUAAAUGUGAUAACAUAUUGGUUUGGGGUGUCACCUGCUCUUGUAUCGUAUUUUUAACUUUUGAGACAAUAAUCUUUUCUCUCUUAACAACUAAAAUAACUUCAGAUUGCAAUUUAUGAAAAGAUAUACCAAAGAUGAUUGUUGUGUCUUCAAUAAAUUCUUGGUAGUAAUAUUUACAAGACCGGUGAAGCUCUAUGUCCUCUCUAUGAUUUCAGUGGAUAUAUGAUAACUUUGCCAACCUUUGCUUGGAAACUACAGAGCUUUACACUGUUUUUUUUUCAAUGCUUGAAGGCUGCAUAGUACUGAUUUACAUCUAGGCUAAUCUUUUUUGCAGUUAUCUCUACUUCUUCAAUUUCACCAUACAUGUCUUUUGGUCAUUAAUCCGAUUUAAAUUCCCCAUGGAGAGGAAGGGAUAUCUCAAAAAAAACCACUUUAUAUCCACAGAUAACAGUAACACCCCUUCUGGAACAACAGUCAGUCUCUUGCAUUCUUCUGUAACUGGGAUUGUGGAUCACAAAACAUGAAUGUGGGAAUAAUAAUGCAACUGUGGUAAAUGUUGCUUUAAUAAUAAUCCAUAGAUUUUGUGACUGCAAAAUUCAUAAACGUGUCAGCAUCAGGAUAAAAUACAGGUUAUAUCUCCAAGUGAGACUGCUAUUUAACUUUGAUUUAUCUCAGUCCAGUCAUUGCAUUGUAACUGAGCCUAAAUUCUAAACUGCCCCUAGGCAGUUCCACGUGUUUUUAACGCAUUAUCUUUACCUUCCAUACUGUCAUACAUACAACUUGGCUAUCCUUAUGUCAGGAUGCUUUCCCGUUCUAUAUUGAAUAGCCUGUGAAAUUAUGUUCCCCAGGACUAUAGUUCCAAAACCAGUUUCUUGAGCUUGCUCAUUGUGGAAAUCAAGACAGUGAUUUUUUUUUUUUAAUGUUGAAAAAGGAGUAGAAAGAGGAAAGAAGUAGAAACUGAAUUGCUAUUUAGGCUCUUCUUAGAGACAGGAUACUAAGAAAAAAUUGCAGGAAAGUGCAGCUUUCAGUUUUAGGCAAAUAAUACUGUGCUGAAGUGAAAGCUCCGACAUUCUUCACAAGUUCUUUGAAGAUCAGCUUGUGGCUUCCUAAGUAUACCUGCUGUAAAUGAUUAAUGUUUAAGCAAUCUUGAUCCUUCUUUCCUUGUGAGAAUCAUCUGGACAGCUUUUAGGAGUAUCCCUGCAAUCUCUGUUUCUAUGUGUUUCUAUGUGUUUCUAUUUGUACCAAUAAGCAAUUUAUUUUGCAGGCUUAAUAGAGUGAGGAAUUUGUCAUCCCAGACUAAAAAAGAGACAGAGCAAGAUCAUCCUACUGCAAAGCAAGUGGAAGUGGUGUGGGUCUGAGACUGCUGGAAAUUUCCUGCUCUAAAUGAACAGCAGGUUGUAGGGUGUCAGUGCCCCAGUCGGUGAACAAUUACCUGUGGUAAUAUCUAAUGACCAGGUACAUCUCUGCAAGAAGGAAAAGACAUGAAGUUUGGCAAGCAAAAGCUUGCCAUUGGUUUAGGGUAAUCUGUGGAGAGUUCAUGUCCUUCAAAGAAUAAAUUAGAAGGAGACACUGUGUGAAGCUUGUGCUGCGUGUGGUUAGCGAUACUACAACAGAAAGUGCCACGCAUUCCUUUUGUGACAGAGAUCGCCACGCUUCCAAGGGGGGUGUCAGUGACAACUCAGUGUCAAAAGUUGUUAGCUUCGCUCGUCCCUGUAAGAAAGCAUUGUGUCAAAAUAUAGAUAGUAUAGAUGGGCAACUUGUCCAUGUUGAUGGACAGGCCUUUUAUAAUUUCAUCUUUUUUAUGGGACUGUGAGAAAGAUGUCUGGAUGUGUUUUCUUACCAGGGAAUUAGAUUUCAAUACUUUGGGAAAUGUCUUAAGAGCUGCUUGCACAGGGAAGAGUGGUAAUUAGAAGCAUGUGUUCUCCUGUAGAUGUUCCAGUGAACUGUCUGGAUCAGAAUGAAAGCCUAGAUUAACACAGUGUGACGGUGGGGUACAGAUGUAAACCUGGUGUGCCUCAAACCAUUUUAAUCUCAUUACAAACUUUGUUGAAGAUUUUUGUGUUCAUAGGGUUUGUAGGUUGAUUCUUGUUUCCCCUCCCAGGAUUUUAUAUGAAGAUUACUUUUCCUGACCAACUGGUUUGCAAGUUAUUUCUGUAGAGUGACUAUUUCUAAAGUAAAACUAAAGUACUGCCAUUUCUGACUCCAGUUAUAGGAAGGAAAUACAAUAUGAUUCAGCUAAGUUUUACCUAACAGCAAUUAGUUUUAAACUCAAAUUUAUCCAAUAAAUCCUAGAUUGCAGAUGGAAAGGACUUUGGGUUCUGAAUCUUAGUAUCAAGUCGCAUGUCAGCAUACAACCUACAAAACUGAAAAAAGAUUUCUAGGACAAUGUACAUGAAAUAAAAUUACACUUUCAUCUGCUAAGUCUUUCACUCUUUCUUUGUUUCAAAUUGCUUGCUUUAAGAUUGCAGAGAGCUAGAAAGUUAUUUUAUGUGAAAUGUUUCAGAUGAACAAGCUUGUGGUUAUGGCAGAGUAACAAAGAACUUCUAUACUGAUUUUUUUAUAAAGGAGUUAUAUGAGUUUGAUAAAAUAAUCCCUAAAAUCUGUGAUUAGAAAAUAAAGAUACCACCUCCUCUUGCAGCAGAGAUCUACAUCCCAGCUUAAUCAUUUCCCUCAUGAAAAUAAUUUGCAUGUAAUGUUGAUGUUUUUAAUAUAUUAGAUUCUUAAACCUGAAGGCUACAAAAGCAAUCUGCUUGUGAUACUAAAUAGAUCACUCAAGUAUGAUCAAUAAUCCAUUAGCAGGAAUCUCUGUUGCAUGUAGCACUUACCACUAACAAGUUUUUUUAUCCUUUCCAGCUGUGAAACGAUACAGAGAAGUAGUCCAGAAGGUUAAAUUGUGGAGGAGGCCAACAUAGCACCAAAAAUAGUUUAAUAGAGAGGUACUUAGCAGAAACCACAUCUAAAGCAAAUUUAUUUUUAAUACAAAAAUAUAUUAUGUCACGUAAUCCUGCCUGUCUCUCCUGUCUAGUUCAGAAGCACAGCAAGGAACACUCCCUCAGUAAAUAGUGUAGUAUCAGGGCCGUGAAUACAGCAAAAUUUCUUUGUAAAUAUUUAUCACACCUAAUUCCCCUGGACAUUAUGAAAUGGAUCCUUCCUGUAGGACUACAUAAUGAGAAAUAAUAUAAAAAGUACUUCAGAAUUUUUAACUGAGAGUGACUAGCAGAACAUACAGCUUUGGUGAGGCUCUUUUUAAUCAGAUAACUUUGUGAAUUGGUGACUACAAGUUUUAUUCAGUGUUAGUUUGGGAUGAUCACUUUACUACCAUUUGGAAUAGUGAUUUAAAGCCAAAUUCUAUUUUUACUGGUAUGAGGGGUUGCACUACUUCUUUAUGCACAGGGGGAAGCAUAGGAAAAGGAAAUUUCUUUGUAGAUAUUGCUGGGUUUGGCAUAAUCUAAAAGAUACUUAAUGGCUUUAGCUUUUCUAGACUGAGAAAUUAACUUUGAAAGCAAACCAACAAUGGAGGAAUUCAUGAUAUUUUUUUAAAAAGCCACACAUUGUCCUAUCUUAUUCAGAGCAGAAUUUUUCUAACCAGCAAAUUCUAUGAGAAUCUGUUUUUCAAAGUUAUGUAAUAAAAAUAAUUGUCAAAUCUAUUAUGAUAGUCUAGACUACACACAAAAGGGGCACUCAAGGGAAAUCGUGGAGAUUUUCUCAUGGAAAUAGAUAAUGGAAUGACUAAAAUAUUUCAUCUAUUUUAAAUUGGUAUUAUAAUCUAUAACUUUUCAGAAUAGUUCAGUUGCUUUCUUGGAAAAAAAAUGGAUACGGUAAAUUGUUCUAGAGGAAAAUGUUCUAUUGUUAGCCCCACUCUGUUGGGUUAGUGAUAAGAGCUUGUAAAAGCCCUGUGUUAUUUCAUAAGUAGUCCAGAAGCGAAGCUUUUCUUCUCUCUAGUGUGUGUGCUUGUCCUAUGUGACGUAGAUAAAUAGUUUGUCUCAGAAGCACAAACCAAGCUAUCCUGUUUAUCUGCAACAAAAUGAGUCUAUUUUCUGAAAUCCUGAGUGGAACAGAUUUUCCAAGUGGGAAACCAAGACAUCUCCCAGGCUGACCCUUACAAAAGGGGCCUGGAGGGAGAAUUUGUUUGAAUCCUCCCAGCCUGACACUACAUCUUCCUCUGCCUCCUGACCUCAUGUGAAAUAAGGUGCAUGUAAGGCAAACUCUGCAGAAUCAGGUGAGAAAUUUCUAUUAAGAACUUUUCGCUGUGCAGCACAGCAGUAAUUUCUGAGCCAGGGACCACUGCAGGUACAAACUGGGUCUCAGGGGUGAUAAGAAUUUCUGUAUGUGCUAGUAUUUGGGUCACAAGCUUGAUGAAAGGGGAGAACACAACCCAUAUGGUUUGGGAACGAAAGCUGUGAAAUGUUACAGUAGCAGGGUCAUCCCUUGUGACUUCUGGUAAUUAGGUAAAAUUUGCUGAUUAAUGAGGCCAGUUUCACAUAUGCUUUAAGACAGCAUUGAAAUCUAACCUGACAAAGUGAUUAGUUUUAACCUGGAUAUGGAUUACUGUGGCUGUAAAGAAAAAUACCUUUUUUUUCCCAGUAGGAAUGGGUUCGUAGCUGGGACUAAGUGGGAAGGGAAGGUGCCAGAACUUUGUCUUUCAGUAGCAGUACAGGUUUAUACUGAUGUCAAGUAUAUAUAAAACCAUAACUCAAGACUAUAAAAAAUUAAGGGGGAAAUAAGACAACGAAAUGUAUCCUCUUGGUUGUGAAGCUUUUUAUCUUACUCCAGCUCUUACUUUACCCAGACACUUAGAUUUUCUGCCGUACCUGCCUGUUGGGGUUACAUGAGGACCUUCUGAGGUUGACAUCCAUCUGAUCAGGUAAAAGCCCAAACCAGUCAUUUUUGCUUCUUUGUGACUGAUUGGUACACCUGGGAAUAUGAAAUGCAGUGUCGUUCAUCCUGAGGGAACUCUGACCAGAGAAAAGGUGGUAGAGCCUCGGACUGCAAGGAGUCUGAUGCUGUUCCCUUUAAACACCCGUUAAAGGAAUGUAUUCACACCAGAAGUUCCCCUGGCAUUGCAGAGGCUGCACAUUGAAGUCACUGCUGUUUAAACGUCUAGAACAAGUAACAACAAUGGAUUCUAAAAGCUGGAUGAAAAAAAUGUACUAAAAUAUAAGCUGCUUCUGCAAGUGUUGGCAUUACCUGCUUGGAAAUAAAAGGAACCUUUUGCUGCUUAUUGCUCUCUGUGAGCCUUUUGAACAGCGUAACGAAUUCAAUAGCACAUCUGAAGCACACGCAAAUAUUUUCAGUGCUGGUGUUCUCUGUGGUGCCCACCAAGUCAGGACAAAAGUAAGACGCAGGAGGCAUCAGCACACAGUGGACAAGGCACCAUUCAAUGCCUUGGUGAGGGACUCUGCGUUUCGCUUCCACACAAGAGAAGCAGCAGUAGGAAUUCCACUGAUCUUGUCAGCUGGCUCAGUCCCCAGUAACAGCUUUUCAGUGACCAGCGAGUUCAGGUUCUUGGCCACUUGCACGUACCAUUGCCAGUCCUUAAUUUCGCAUUGAAGGCCAAAAUUGCACAUAGGUCUUUGAAGACAGCUGGACAGAAUAUUACUGAUGCAGUUUUACAAGCACAGAAGUGUCCCCUUCAGCGUUUGAUAUAGGAUACUGCCGGCGUAAAAGCUCCCCUGGAAACUGCUUUUCCUCGCUGCUUUUGAGUAUGAAGCUGUGUCUGUGAAGUGAGAUGGAUCAAAUAUCAAACUGUGAAGACGUCUCCAAUGCAAGGCAGUGCUUAUCAGCUGUGUGGAGUUUGGUUUCUCACCGAAGUGUUAUUUGAAGACAAUGCUUUUUCCCAAUCUCAUCUCUCAGUUGGCCCAUAGCUGGCUAUCUUAAUCUGUUACAAAAAUCCUAGUGUUUCCAUCAGCUUCAAAAAUAAGAGUUAGUUUUCCUUUUUUUGCUUUUAUCUGGUGAUGUAGAAGAUGCUGAUUUCUCUGGAGAUGAGAACAGUCGAUAGAGAGACUACCAGGUGGAGAAGUAAAGAGAGAAGCCUGUACCUUGAACUCUGUUUUAUGUGUGGAUUAGUUUCAGGAGACCUCUGGCCGUAUUCUCCAACGCUUUUUGCAAUAAAUAGGCAUUUGCACAUAUGUGGCUGUAAGUAACGUCCAGUCAUAAGGGAGGCAUUUUGAACACUUGAGUUGCCUGGAGGAGAGAAUUUACUCCCUGCCAAGUGGACCAUUAGAUUAUUGCAUUUUAUAUUCCAAGAACUGAGAAGGGAUACUCCUCAUAGUGCGAUGGUGCGGGGCUCAUGUUGGGGCUGUGCUGUAAUGAGGAAAGUAGCACACAAAUCAACUCCUGGGUGAACAGUUGUUAGUGCAAGGUUAGGAAGGCUGAAUGGAGAGGCGUUUUCAAAAGCAUAUAGGUGAUUGCAGACUACAAGCCUUCUAAGUGCUUUAAAAACUCUGCCCGUGACUUUUAUUCCUGCUUAAGCUAUGGAUUUGACAUACAGGUUGUGAAUCUAUAGACCACAGAAGCCAUGCAGCUUUCCAAGUCUGUUUCCCUAUAUAUAGAAGGGAAAAAAAGAUUGUUUUUUUCUCUUUGUUACUCUGUCAAUGCUUCUUAGAGAAACAGGUUUACUGCCUAGGUGAAUAUUGGUAAAAUUCAGUGUUUAGAAGUUUUACUUUUGAUAAUACUAGAGAGAGUAAACUGGAAAACAAAUCCAAGUUAGUUGCUCACUUCAGAGAUCCCCUCAGAAAGAUCCACAGCUGAAACACUUGAAGGUUCAGAUUGUUCAGAGGGAUAGAAGGGUCUGGAACAAGUAUGAGAAAUGUGUUUUGCAGUCCAAAAGAGACAAAGAGGCCUUGCAGAAAAGGAUUGUGGAGCUGGAAGCUGAACUGAAAAGGUGCAACCACGAGCCACCUCCAGACCAAGAGGAUGAAGAGGUCUACUUUCCUAAGGGCAGCUUGUUAAUUAAAACGGAGGACUCGAACCUGUCUGGAAGGAACUCAGCAUGGAGGGGCAGAGCAAACCCAGGGGACCAACAUGAAGCACAGCAAAAUGUUUUUGCUUUUUAAAGGAACAGUUAAACUCCAAGCUUAAAAGGACAAAUGAAAAGGAAAAAAUCUUGAUUCUGGAAAUGAGAAAGGUUUCCUGUUUUGCUCAGUUCUGCUCUCCUGGACCCACACAGACCCCAUGACUGCACGUUCCCACCACACCAGGCCGGUAUCCCUGCUCAAAGAGCACUGAAUAACUGUGGCCUCGGCAAACUCUGGAAUCUGAAUCUCAUUGAACAUCUGCCAAAAACUACAUUUAUACUGUGAGAAUUGACCUUUUCUUCCCUCAACGUUUAAUUGGUUACUAAUUCAUUAAGACCUUUAUUCUCCUACGGAGAGGACCUUGCUAGUCGUCCCCGCGAACCGAGGCCUAGCGAGAGACUGAAUCCAGCUCCGGUUGUCUGGAGGAUCCAGUCCAGGACUUCGGGUGCCGGCUCUGCAGUUGCUGGGACUUUCAAGAUUGGUUUUGUAUAUUUUGUAUUAUUUUCUUAUUAGUAGCAUUAGUAAAACAUUUUUAGUUUUUCCAGCUCUCUUCUCUCUGUCCUUAGCGGGAAGGGGGAGAGGGAGGGGCAACAAGGGAAAGGGGAGGGAGAGGAGGUCAACAAUACAUCUGCCAGGGUUUUAUUGUCACCCCACAAUUAAAACCCUUGACAGCAGGUUAGCAAGAAAGCUGCUGAUAGGAAGAGAAAGGAGGAAAAACAAAACCAAAUAACCAAACCAACCAAACAAAAAAAAACCCCAAACCACCCCAAAAAAUAACUCUAAACCUUCCAUUUCUAAUCUUUGUUGUGUAGUUGCUGAAUCCUGAGUAGCAAGUGUGUAAAUAAAAAAAAAGGUACUAAAGUGCUUCCUUCCACACUUUCAAUGCAACUAGAGUUGCUGAGCUACAUUUUUAUCUGAUGUAUAAGAUUCUGUCUUUACAGUGUAUGUUUACUGUCUCAAUGAAUAUGAAGAUUAAUGUCACCGUUUGUUAUUACGCUAUGAAGAAUGAUUCUGCGUGAUCAUGGCAAGAGUUCUUCAAGACAAAAGAGAGUUGUAAGUAGUUCUGGGCCUCGGUUAGACAGUAACACGAGAUGAGCAGCACAACGUGUUAUUCUGCUUACUCUUCUGCCUUACUUGUCUGUAAGUGUUCAAAAUCUCUGUGAAAGUUUCAGUGGCUCCUCUCAGUGUAUUCUGGACAAAUUAGUAACUUCAUCUUACUGGAAAAUAGAUAAAAUUUCUGUGCUAGAAAGGCUAUGAAGCAAAGAGGUUUAAAUUCACAGAAUUCUGUAUCAGUAGCAAAGUGCCAAGUUUUUCUUUGGUGUUUGCCUCACUGCCAGCAAUGAAACAAGCUCCUGAGCCCCAGGCCAUUGUGCCUUCCACUCAGCCAGCUUCAUCAUCGCUGGGCUUCUCUUCUGACUCAUCAUCUUCAUCUUCAUGUUCCUCAUCCUCGUAUCUGACGGCACCCUCAGCUUCGGUAUCAGACUGACCUUCCUCUUCGCACUCAGGGGACUGGUCAGACCGAGAGCUGGGUCUGGACUGAUGGUCCCCAUCUUCCUCCUCCUGGGAAUGGCCAAGUGACAGGCCUGCCUUUGCUUCCUCCUCAUCCUCCUCUUCAUCACUGUGCUGGUCAGAGCUGGGGCUGGACCCAACCUCCCCUGCAAUGGCUUCUUCCUCCUCCUCCUCCUCCUCACUGGACUGACCAUCCUGGGGGGAGGUUCUGAUGCCUUUUCUCUUCUCUCCUUCCUCCUCGUCCCAGGACGGCUCAGACCGGGCACCAUCAGCUGCUUCCUCAAAGGAUUCCCUUUCUUUCACCUUAUCCCUCAUGACUCUGAAAAGACAAUUUGCAUGUGGGAUUUGAUUUUCAGGUAAGAUCCUUUGCAGGGUUUAAACUACCUUAAAGUCAUCUAGAACAAGUCCUGGUAGGCUUGGAACUGGGGUGGAAUGGGGGAAGGAAAAGGAGGGGGACACACUCCUUUUAUGCUAGAAAGUAACUCAACAGUAUUGCUUAUAUAUUUCAAUUUCUUUUGUUUCUGCUUCCUUCUAAAUCAUAACACCUAAUGGAUAUUGUAUUUUUAUAAGGUUUCUAAACAUUCAAUAAAAGUAGCGCAGUAUGAAGUGACUUUUAGCAACCUGCCAGACAAGGAUCAAAUAAGUAUGUUACAUCUUUGAAGUACAUUAUAUAACAUAUCCAGUACUUUUCUCUGGUUUAUGAAAUAAUACUUAGUUCAGGAAGAACAAUUAAAAAUACAUACUAAUGCGUACAUUAGUAAAGCUAACUACAUAGUCAAAUAUUUACCUGGGAAAUAUUACAAGUGAUUUUAAAUCCCUCCCAAACCUACACAUCAAAAAAUACUUUCUAAUGACUAGGCAUGUAGUGGGGUAAAAAAAGAAGCCUUCAGUAAUCUCUACCUUUCUCUGGCAUCAAUGGAGCUAUUAAAGGCUUCAGCACUGGAGCGUUGUAGUAAUUUAGUUGUUUGUCCUUUCUUUGAAACAAACUCUGGGCAUAUCCCCAGCGCUCGCAGUCUGCUUGAAUAAUGCUUUUCUGCAGCUAUCCUGGCGUUUUUCUGUAGGAAAACCACAGUGGUUUUGUGUUACCUAAAUGCAUUCAACACCUGUCUCUUGAUACUUUUAUUUAUUUAUAUUAAUGCUGUUUCUUUAAUUGCAUCUGACAAGUUGAACAGUUAUUCACUGCAGGUAAGACCAGCAAAACAAUACUUGAACGCUUUACGCUCUCAUAUUUUUUGCUGUGAUUUUUUUUGUUGCGUUUAUAGUUACUCAUGUUGUAGCUAAAUUGGACAACACGUUUACAACAGCCGUCACUGUUCCCUGUGCAAGCAUCACAAAAAUUAGUACUAUUUAUAUGGCAACGGAGAUUAAAAUGGACGAAUACCCGUCUCAAAAGUAUUUUUCAGGUAUCUUCUAAAAAUGUUUGACUGCAAAUGUCUGACGCGGUAUUUAAAGAGUAAGAAAUAAUACAGAAGCAAGACAACCUGAGUGACUCUUUCCAAAAGCAAUGGCAUUUGUUUUACUCGUUCUUCCAUUUCUUGCAACUCUUGCAAAUAUUCUCGCAUUCUCUGCUUCUCAUCAUUCCUGAGGGAAAGAGAAGUUAUGAUUAAUUCAGAAUACAAGAAGUAAUUUUCUACAGCAGCUAAAUUACUCCUAACAAGCUAAAUAUUGUCCUACUUAAAGACACAUAAAUGGUAAAUUAUUUUGUGGUGGUGUCUCAGGGUCUGAGAUAUGUUGUCUCAUUUUCACAGCAAUUGCUUGCCUGUGGAAAUACGGAACAAACCCACAUUUGAAGUCAUCACUUUGGAUAAAAUUUGGCUGAAUUCUUAGGUUUUGGGGUCUUUUUAAAGUUUAGAUACUUAGGGUUUUUUUAAAUGCUGGUUUCAUACCGAUAUUCCAGUUGUUCGAUGCGAAAUUAAACAGUUUGAAAGGACUGGUAAAAAUCAGAGUACACCACAGGAAACAAAUAUCAUAAAAGUCAGUACUUUAAGGACAAGUUUGAUAAGAAUCUUGCUGCUUUCCCAGUCUAUGUCACAAGAUGGGUGGCCACAUUCUGGACCACAGUACACUGUUUAUUUUCCCAGUUGGUUUGUCAAGGGCCCCAUCAAUAUAGCGGGAUGAUGACACUGUUGAUUCACAGACUGAAAUGAUAUCUUAGGUGACAGCAAGCACUAGAUAACACAGGCAGCAUGGGCUGUAACCCUUGGUGUGUGACAAAGACACUUCUUUGGGAUGUUGCCUCUAUGCUGGGCUGGCUCUGGUGUCACUUAGACACUUCAGGGUGGCAUUUUCCACUUCUGCACCCUCCUGCCUCUUUCCCUUCCAAUCCUCCGAAUUUCUGUAAUAGUGCUGUGUGUUAAUGCAAGUUAUUCACUAUUUCCAAUGAGUGAACUUCAUUGUUCCUACUCGCUUUGCUCUCUGGCAGCUUCCUACAAACCUAAUUAUCUGUUAGAAGAGCACUUACAUUAAUGUACCUUAUUACCCAGCCUAUGCUGAAAUAAGCAUUAUCAAGUUAAGCGCUUGUACCAGCCUUAAUGCAUCAGCACCAGGGAGAAGUAAUCUUGCUUUAUAACAGCAUAACUUUAUGUGCAGACAAGAAUUAAGCGUGAGUGUUUUACAAUACUCCUGAAAUCUGAUUAAGCUAAAUACUGUAAUGUGAAAUUCGCCGCUGAAUGAACUCAAAUCAAAUCUGUGAAGACACCCACUGUCUCUCUUAAUUCUCCACCCUGCUACUGGAACUCAAAUUGUUUUCUGCUUUUGUCCUAGAGUCAGCAGAUCAUCUGCCUGAGGACACUUAAAUUAUAAAGAAAGAGACCCAUGUAAAGCAAAAAAGAAGGACGAAACCUUAUUUGUUAUCUUUUAACUCCCAGCCCCACCUUCAAAUAGAAAGAUUUCUCUCCUGAACCAUAUUCUGAACACCUUGCUCCAAGUUUACUACGGAUGGAAAAGAACAAGACGCAGAAAUGGUUAAAUCAGCCAGAAACACAAGGUCAAGCAGCAGCUUGAGAGUGAGAUCAGCAGCAGAGCUGGAACCACCUGAGAAGGCCCUGAUGGUUUGCCCUGUGCACUUCCCUCAGUCAUGCAAAAAGAGUCUUUGAAUGUAUAUAAGCUUUCUCUUUUCCUCAAGUGAAUUCCUGGGUGGAAAAGGCUGAAUUAAUUUGAAAUCAAGAGCAACACUUCAAAGGAAGCUUCCGCAAAGGAGAUUCAAGAGAGAAAAGCAGGGUGAAAAUAGGGUUGGCAUAAGAGGACAGAAGGUGUGGGCCAUUCCCAGGGAUUCAGGUUCCCGUCUCGGAGAGGCGUACGGCCAGCGUGUUUCCUUCCGCUUCUCUUCAUCCUCUUGAAUGUCCUGCAAAAUCUUCCCCUUGUUCGAGGGAAUAGACGGAGUACGAAGAUGGAAAGGUUCGCAGACCGUGAGGUGUUUCACUUGUUUCUGCUGCAGGAGCCGUUUCUGAAACUUCUUGUGUAGCUGUUGAAAAUCUGGAACACUUGAUUUGAUUUUGGGUUUAUUUUCUGUUUCCUUUGGUUCGAUGCACUUGUGUUUCUUCUUUCUCUUGGUAUUUGCUAGAGCCAGUCUGCUGUUGGGGAGGGAUGAAUUGCGCAGCAGCUCUUCAGCCCUCAUUCUGAUCCUGAUUUCUCUGUAGAGCUCUUCCUCCUUGAGCUUGUCGUUAACAGCCGGACUAUAAACACAUCUCGGAACUGGUUUUGCUUUGAACAGUUUGGUUUUCUUUUCCGGUGCGGAAAGGUCUCUUAAUUGCAUUUUCCUCAUUUCAUUCCUUUGCUUCUCCCGUUCGAUGAAUUUAAACGGCUUCUGAGAAGCCAAGAGCUUGACUUUGCUCCUCUCUUUCACAGACCUCCUGCGUUCCUCGUUUCGCUGCACGAUUUCGUGGUAGAGCGGAAGGAAAACAGCGGCAGGCACUGGAUUGGCUCGGAAUUGCUUCUGACACUCCGCUUCCUCCUCUAGCUGCUUCUUCAAUAAGUGAUUUUCCAUUUCAACCUGCGACUUGGAUUUGAUGUUCUGUUCUCUUUUUCUGGCUUCUCUGAUAGUCAUCUGGAAAGGCUUGGGCACAGUAACUUUUGGCGACCACGCUUUCUGUUUCCUCCGUAUCGUUCUGAAGGCCGGAGAGCUGGGUACGCGGUGUUCGGCGCGGGAGAUGUAAUCUUCCACUGAGAAGCCGUCCCACAUUUUCUCAAUCCGUUCCUUAGCAAAUGCAGAUGAUCCAGUUUCACUCCCGUUUUCUUCAAACGCUAAUUCCCUGUCAGAUCCAUCAGAUAUACUUGAGCCUAAGGCAUCGCUUAAGUCAGAGUCUGAAAAGGAUUUGUGCAGAUUUAGAGGCUCAUAUGAGCUCUUCUUCCAAGUUGGCCUUUAAAAAAGGGAAAAAAGAGUUGGUUUGAGCCCAGUCCAACACUGAUGCAAAACCAGCAACUCCCACAAUCCGCUAGCAAGCUGAAUAAGCAUUUUUAUGAUUAAAACUAACUUUUCCGUGGUUAUCUGCUUACAGGAAACAGGCAGAAAGAAAAACACCCCCUGUAUCACCACUGUCUUCAGAUCAAGAUACCACCAAACUUACCUACAACUCGUAGGAGAAGCGGCAUUUUUCUUCUUCGAGGGUUGUACUCCUUUUAAAUACAGUUUAUUCCGAUACAUACUCUCUAAUUUUGCCAUGGUCUCCAGGUGGGCAUUCUUCAGCUCUUCCAGCUUCAAGUAAUAUUCUUGAUUUGAAUCACACAUCUUGGAAAAGUCUAUCCCCUUGUCAGAGUCUGCGUUCUGAGAGACGGUCUCUUCUCUGCCGGUAUCUGAAUCCAAAGCAAAACCAUCCUAGAAGAGAUGUUUAAAAUGUUCUGACUGGUAGAAGAAAGGGGAACAAGGUUCCUAAUACUUAGUGUAAUAAAUGGUACAGUAACAGCAAACAGAGAUAGUGUAUAAAAAUGUUAAUGUGGGGUUACACGGAAUAAUCAUACUGCAUAAUAAUUUAGAUCCUAAGGGUCUAAUAGAAGCACGUAAAAUUCCUCAGUCUGUCCCUGCAAUCAAUAUACUUAUACCAGGAAAGAUGAUCUAAAGGAUUUAUCGAAAGGAAAACAGUUUAAAUGAUACCAAAGGUGUGAUUUUUCCUUGAUUAUUACACAGCUCUAAAAAAGCCUUUAUGUAAAAAUAUAAACAAAGCCUUACCUGCCUUCCCUUUCCAUAAGCAUUCUAAAAAUAAGAUAUUAAAAAUAUUACUUUGUGUACAAAUGUUUAUUCCCAUUUCCAUACCUUACUGUGAAAUGACAGGGAUUCUGCACUGCUUAUAUUCCCAAUACUGUUGGGCAGUUUGCAGCUGUGUGCAGGUACACACGUUCUCUAAACACUUUGAGCUUAAAGAAGUUAUUAAAACCAGGUUAGUCAGCGUUACAAAGGCUUCCUUUAUGUUAUUUUAAGCACUGUGCUUAAAAAAAAUAACAGGAUUAGUGUCUUUAUCCAAAAAAUAGAAUAAUUCUUUCCCACGCAGAGGUGUUUUAAUAAGGUUUAACGUUCCAACAAAAAGCCUUGUUGGGUUUUCACUGCAAAAAUCUGAUUUUUUCUGAAGCGUAGUCACCCGAGACAAAAUGAAUCACACGAUCAGAGAAGCGAAUUCAAAGAAGCCGCCGCAGAACGCCCGGCAAAAGGCACCAUCCAUCCACCUGCUGCUCUGCCUUUGUGCACCAGCCGCCCCUUUCAGUGCUGGCUCCGCAGAACCAUCCAGUUCUUAGAUCGGCUCCUGGACCUCCGCGGCUCAACAAGCUCAUUAAGGGAUCGGGGCGGCAGGACCAGCUGCCAGGUUUUCCUACAGCUCUUUGUCCCCACGCGUCGCCGCGCAGCACAAAGGUGGGUUUGGUCACCCGGCCCCGGGCCUCCCGCGUCCCCCGGUUCUUCCCCAGCGCGUCCCGCCCCCGACACCCGCGGUACCUGCGCGGCGGGAGCGCGGGGCCGCGGGCGGGAAGCGGCUCCGAGCGCGGCCAUGGCCGGGGGGGCGGAGCGGAGCCUCCGGAAGGGGCGGGAACCCGCUCUUGGACCAACCCCUCGGGUUAGUCAAUCUCUACAGUGUGCGCUCGGGAAAAGCUGUUGCGGAGUAAAGGUAAAGCGGGGUCCGCAGAAAUAAUUGUGGAGCCGCUUAUUGCAAUGAAAUCACAAAUAUUCUAUGUAAAGAAACGGGUGAAAUCACACACGACAGCUCUAAGUCGCCUCAAGAAGUUCGUGAAGCUUUAAUGGAGGUUAACGCCUAAACUAAGAAAGACCAUUGCUGGAUGUCACCCUGUGGGGUAAGGAAUCGUUUGUAAUUUUGAACAGCCAAUAAAUAAUGUGUGGAGAGCUUGAA